AUUGAAAAAGCAGUUUAUCGAUUUUUAUAUAGAAUAUUUAUAUGGAGUAUAUAUUAAGUGGAUUUCUUAACACAACUAAUUUUGUUUUUGGCUAAAGCUAUUGGAUUCUAUCGAAUCCGUAACUAGAACUCUAGCUCCACCCUUGAUGUUCAAUUGACCAUCCUUCUGUCCAUGUGGCUGACUCUUUAACUUCCUUUUGCAAAUUUGCGCAGGAGGCUUUAGAAUUUAUGGAACAACUAACUACGAGCAUGGGCCAAGACACAGAAUUAAGCAUAGAUAACAUUUAUGAAGGUGUUGAUGUUACAGCAAUAGUAAAAUGGCAUUUAGAGUGGAAGAAGAAGGAAGUUCCAUUCACAAGAGGUUGCAGUUACUAUGAAUAAUCAAGAGAUGGAGAACAACUACUCAUUAAGAAUGCUCAAGUUAUUACAGAAUCAUCUAUGAUACCAAGAAUUUUGGCGGUGUUCAAAAUGGUUACUUCAGUAUUUGACGACUUUCCUGAUGCAGCUAGGAGGUUUCUAAAGAACCACCAAGGUACUGUUCAAAUAUUACUAAAUACUUACAGGAUUGUUCUGCAACCAUUCACAAGUCCAGUUCUUGCAUGGUACAAAAAGUUGUGGACAUUCGCAAUCACCUUUAUUGGACUCACAAACAAGUUAGUGCAGUUCAUUAUGAAGAAUUUCAAAGAGUAGAACAGAGUUACAAUGAAAAUCCUAAGCCCGGUCCAGUACUCUAUACAUACCAUAGCUAAUUGAUCUAACCAAAUUCCCCAAGAACCCAAGUUUGAGAAUUUUGGCUAUUCUUUAAGCUCGUGGGUAUGAAUCGUUCAGCGCAUAGGUGACAUUAACGAGUUAUUUGAAUGCGUGAUUUACUUGUGACGCCAAAUUCAGGAUUUUGUCAUGGAAUUCGACCCGUCGAACUUGAAACUUUUUACAAUACUUCUUUUGUUCCAAUUUAUGUGACACUUUUCCUUUUGUAGUCGGUCUAGAAAGAAUGACAAAUUUCUGUAUUCAGCAACUACUUAGCUUUAGACUUUCUAUUUUACCUUAAUAAGCUAAUUUAUAUAGCCGCACAAAUAUAUAUGGAU